GUGGCUAUAGCUCAGUUGGUAGAGCCCCGGAUUGUGAUUCCGGUUGUCGUGGGUUCGAGUCCCAUUAGCCACC
rfam:Tolumonas auensis DSM 9187, complete genome.